AGUGAACGCUGGCGGUAGGCCUAACACAUGCAAGCCGAACGGCAGCACAGGAGAGCUUGCUCUCUGGGUGGCGAGUGGCGGACGUGUGAGGAAUACAUCGGAAUCUACUUUUUCGUGGGGGAUAACGUAGGGAAACUUACGCUAAUACCGCAUACGACCUACGGGUGAAAGCAGGGGAUCUUCGGACCUUGCGCGAUUGAAUGAGCCGAUGUCGGAUUAGCUAGUUGGCGGGGUAAAGGCCCACCAAGGCGACGAUCCGUAGCUGGUCUGAGAGGAUGAUCAGCCACACUGGAACUGAGACACGGUCCAGACUCCUACGGGAGGCAGCAGUGGGGAAUAUUGGACAAUGGGCGCAAGCCUGAUCCAGCCAUACCGCGUGGGUGAAGAAGGCCUUCGGGUUGUAAAGCCCUUUUGUUGGGAAAGAAGUCCAGCUGGUUAAUACCCGGUUGGGAUGACGGUACCCAAAGAAUAAGCACCGGCUAACUUCGUGCCAGCCGCCGCCGUAA
rnacentral:rRNA from 1 species